rnacentral:rRNA from 1 species
UUGACGGCAGCGGGUUGUAGCAAUACAAUGCCGGCGAGUGGCGCACGGGUGCGUAACACGUAUGCAACCUACCCUAUACUGGGGCAUAACCUUUAGAAAUGAGGGCUAAUACUCCAUGUAAUUGUGUUGAGGCAUCUUUAUAUAAUUAAAGAUUUAUCGGUAUAGGAUGGGCAUGCGUCCCAUUAGUUAGUUGGUAGGGUAACGGCCUACCGAGACUGUGAUGGGUAGGGGUCCUGAGAGGGUUAACCCCCACACUGGUACUGAGACACGGACCAGACUCCUACGGGAGGCAGCAGUAAGGAAUAUUGGGCAAUGGCCGUAAGGCUGACCCAGCCAUGCCGCGUGCAGGAAGACGGCCUUAUGGGUUGUAAACUGCUUUUAUGUGGGAAUAACCGUAGCUAUGCGUAGCUACCUGCAAGUACCAUAUGAAUAAGCAUCGGCUAACUCCGUGCCAGCAGCCGCGGUAAUACGGAGGAUGCGAGCGUUAUCCGGAAUCAUUGGGUUUAAAGGGUGCGUAGGCUGGUAUUUAAGUCAGUGGUGAAAUUUUCGUGCUUAACAUGAGAGCUGCCAUUGAUACUGGAUACCUUGAGUGUAUUUGAUGUGGGCGGAAUGUGUUGUGUAGCGGUGAAACGCAUAGAUAUGACACAGAACACCGAUAGCGAAGGCAGCUCACAAAGUUACAACUGACGCUGAUGCACGAAAGCGUGGGGAUCAAACAGGAUUAGAUACCCUGGUAGUCCACGCUGUAAACGAUGAUCACUAGCUGUAGGCGAUACACUGUCUGUGGCUAAGCGAAAGCGAUAAGUGAUCCACCUGGGGAGUACGUUCGCAAGAAUGAAACUCAAAGGAAGUGACGGGGGCCCGCACAAGCGGAGGAGCAUGUGGUUUAAUUC